CCUAGGGGAGGCAGCAGUGGGGAAUAUUGGACAAUGGGCGAAAGCCUGAUCCAGCCAUGCCGCGUGUGUGAAGAAGGCCUUCGGGUUGUAAAGCACUUUCAGUGGGGAAGAAAGCCUUGGGGCUAAUACCCUCGAGGAAGGACAUCACCCACAGAAGAAGCACCGGCUAACUCCGUGCCAGCAGCCGCGGUAAUACGGAGGGUGCGAGCGUUAAUCGGAAUUACUGGGCGUAAAGCGCGCGCAGGCGGUCUGAUAAGCCGGUUGUGAAAGCCCCGGGCUCAACCUGGGAACGGCAUCCGGAACUGUCAGGCUAGAGUGCAGGAGAGGAAGGUAGAAUUCCCGGUGUAGCGGUGAAAUGCGUAGAGAUCGGGAGGAAUACCAGUGGCGAAGGCGGCCUUCUGGACUGACACUGACGCUGAGGUGCGAAAGCGUGGGUAGCAAACAGGAUUAGAUACCCCGGUAGUC
rnacentral:rRNA from 1 species